UCUAUCUCUCUGUCUGUAGCCAGUUGCAUUCUCGCUCUGUCUGUCUCCUCCUGCUUACCUUACACACUGGUCUCUAACGAAGGGGGCGGGGCAGGCAUGUAGCUAGCCAUUCAUUCAGAUCCUGGUAUUAGGCCAUGGUAUAAAGGUGCCUAGUAGGUCGGACUGUCUUCCUCUCGGUCUCUCGCUCGGUUUGUCCCUGGGUUUCACGCAGGAGCCAAUCGCCAGCUCUGCGUCUCCCUUACUCUGCCGUGGCUGUAUGGAACCUGACCUGUCUAGCAUUAGAUAACUCUCCCCUGCAGCUUAUGACGAUGGCACGGCGUGUGUUUUAAGCGUUCUUUAGGCCUACUGGCUAAUCAGUGACUGCAAGUGUUUGGCCUGUGGGUUAUCUUCGGCGGGGGGUAGCUAGUCACCUGGUGGCGGGCUUGUGAACUUCACUUUGGAGUGUACUAUGGAAUAUCGGUGGUGGCUUGCUGUGACAAUGGUGUAACACUUUUCUGCAGUGAGAGUGCACGUGUGGACACCUUCCUUGAUAGUCUGCUUCCCCCCCAUCCAGGUCUGUGGAAUACACUUCCCUGAUGGCAGACCAACUAAAGAGCACCCAUACCCAGUAUUGCAGAUGGGAUAUGAACCUCAUGCUGGACUUCUGCCACCUGGUCGAGCCCCCCCAAAAAGAUGUGUUGAGCCCCUUACAGUCAACGCCCUACAAGUUUUACUCGCAAGGUUUAUGAAAGAAAAAAAUAAUAGCUUGGUUGCCUAGAGAUACUCUGGAGAGAAUAAGGCCUCAGAGCUUCAGUGUACAUUAUCCCAAAGCAACAUGCAUUAUAGACUGUACAGAGAUAUUUGUACAAAGGCCAAAGAACUUAAGGAAACGAGCCCAAACAUACAGUAAUUACAAGCACCAUAACACGUACAAAGCCCUAUAUUGCAUAGCUCCCAAUGGCUUUGUGAUGUUUGUGUCCAAAUUGUUUGGUGGGAGGGCUAGUGAUACUUUUAUCACACGGAACAGUGGUCUUAUUAGUCAUCUGAUUCCUGGUGAUCAAGUUUUGGCAGACCGUGGAUUCACCAUCACAGAUGUUUUGCCUCCAGGAGUGACGUUGGCCAUACCAGCGUUUACACGUGGCUGUAAAGAACUUCCGGAGCAUGAAGUUACACGGACACGUCGCUUGGCAAAUGUCAGAAUUCACGUAGAGCGUGCUAUUAGACGAUUGAAAGGUUUUAAAAUUUUGAGUAAUAUUAUCCCAGGUAGAAUACAACAUGUUGAUGACAUUGUAACUAUUUGUGCGGGGCUUUGUAACUUGCAACCUCAGUUAAUUCGAGAGGAAAUUGAGGGAAAAGCAUCUGAUCUGGAUGAAGAUGAGCACAUUGAUGAGCAACAAGAAGGUGAUGAAUACUCAUGGGACAUGGCAGAGGACAUUGAGGGAAACCACUUGUUUUAGUAUUAUUGUGUACUGUAUAGUUACAUAUGUGAUGUGAAGAGCUGCCUGCCACACACACACACACACACACAGAGAGAUACAUACACACAUAGACUCAAGUCUAGACAGUCUCCUACAGUUCUAUUUUAAUCUUA